rnacentral:lncRNA from 1 species
UCCCAACUCCUCCACACGUUAAAAUUAAAUUACCACAUUAAGAUGUGGCAUGGAGAAGUCAAGGAGUAGAAGGACUCUUCCUUCUCAGGUCUCAAAAAAAAAAUUGGCAUGUAAUAAAGAAAAGAUUUAGGGAGAAAUAAAUGUUUGGCGCAAGCACAUCCUAUAUGCCGUCCAUAACUUCCCAUAAAGGAUCAAUUAAUAUAUAGAAGUUUUUUGGGU